rnacentral:rRNA from 1 species
UUGAAAGGGAAACGAUUGAAGUCCGUCNCGGNGGCNUGGGCGCGAAAUCAACCUUCUCGUCUCGAGAUCCNCNUGGCGUGGCGAGCCUCAAAACCGUCACGAAGCGUGAACUCUUGGUGAAAUGGAGCACUUUCGUGUCCGCUGGUUAACAUCAAUUUCGAACGUCAUAAAAAGGCUGGAGGGAUGUGGCUCCUUCGGGAGUGUUAUAACCUUUAGCGGAAUGUGGUGGUCGGGAUUGAGGAUUGCAACGAAUACCUUUAGGGCUGUUCCACCUGGCUUCUCAUUGGUAUCCUGGUGACGACAGCUUGCUGACGUUGUUAGGAUUCGCCUUUGAACAGGCUAGAGUGNGAGCAAAUUCGUUAAGGAUGUUGACGUA